GCACCAUCGAGACCGGCAGAGGGACAGGCCCUUUGAAGCCGGGGCAGCCCGCAGACGCGAAAGCGACCUGCGUAGGUGCCAAAUCCUGCGGAGACCGUUGGUGUCUUCCGAAAGAUGGUUC
rnacentral:ncRNA from 2 species